rnacentral:rRNA from 1 species
AGAGUUUGAUCCUGGCUCAGGACGAACGCUGGCGGCGUGCUUAACACAUGCAAGUCGAACGGUAAGGCCCCUUCGGGGGUACACGAGUGGCGAACGGGUGAGUAACACGUGGGUGAUCUGCCCUGCACUUCGGGAUAAGCCUGGGAAACUGGGUCUAAUACCGGAUAGGACCACGCUCUGCAUGGAGUGUGGUGGAAAGCUUUUGCGGUGUGGGAUGGGCCCGCGGCCUAUCAGCUUGUUGGUGGGGUGAUGGCCUACCAAGGCGACGACGGGUAGCCGGCCUGAGAGGGUGUCCGGCCACACUGGGACUGAGAUACGGCCCAGACUCCUACGGGAGGCAGCAGUGGGGAAUAUUGCACAAUGGGCGCAAGCCUGAUGCAGCGACGCCGCGUGGGGGAUGACGGCCUUCGGGUUGUAAACCUCUUUCAGUACCGACGAAGCGCAAGUGACGGUAGGUACAGAAGAAGCACCGGCCAACUACGUGCCAGCAGCCGCGGUAAUACGUAGGGUGCAAGCGUUGUCCGGAAUUACUGGGCGUAAAGAGCUCGUAGGUGGUUUGUCGCGUUGUUCGUGGAAACCCACGGCUUAACCGUGGGCGUGCGGGCGAUACGGGCAGACUGGAGUACUGCAGGGGAGACUGGAAUUCCUGGUGUAGCGGUGGAAUGCGCAGAUAUCAGGAGGAACACCGGUGGCGAAGGCGGGUCUCUGGGCAGUAACUGACGCUGAGGAGCGAAAGCGUGGGGAGCGAACAGGAUUAGAUACCCUGGUAGUCCACGCCGUAAACGGUGGGUACUAGGUGUGGGUUUCCUUCCUUGGGAUCCGUGCCGUAGCUAACGCAUUAAGUACCCCGCCUGGGGAGUACGGCCGCAAGGCUAAAACUCAAAGGAAUUGACGG